rnacentral:rRNA from 1 species
UACGUAGGGUCCAAGCGUUGUCCGGAGUUACUGGGCGUAAAGAGCGCGCAGGCGGUCGUUCAAGUCGAGUGUGAAAGCCCCCGGCUCAACUGGGGAGGGUCACUCGAUACUGAUCGACUUGAAGGCAGGAGAGGGAAGCGGAAUUCCCGGUGUAGUGGUGAAAUGCGUAGAUAUCGGGAGGAACACCAGUGGCGAAGGCGGCUUCCUGGCCUGUUCUUGACGCUGAGGCGCGAAAGCUAGGGGAGCAAACGGG